UGGGGAAUUUUGCGCAAUGGGCGAAAGCCUGACGCAGCAACGCCGCGUGAGUGAUGAAGGCCUUUGGGUCGUAAAGCUCUGUCAGGAGGAGCGAAGUGCCGUGGGUUAAUAGUCCUCGGUUUGACGGUACCUCCAAAGGAAGCACCGGCUAACUCCGUGCCAGCAGCCGCGGUAAUACGGAGGGUGCAAGCGUUGUUCGGAUUUAUUGGGCGUAAAGGGCGUGUAGGCGGUUUCUUAAGUCUGAUGUGAAAGCCCCGGGCUCAACCUGGGAAGGGCAUUGGAAACUGGGAGACUUGAGUACGGGAGAGGGCAGUGGAAUUCCCAGUGUAGGAGUGAAAUCCGUAGAUAUUGGGAGGAACACCGGUGGCGAAGGCGGCUGCCUGGACCGAUACUGACGCUGAGACGCGAAAGCGUGGGGAGCAAACA
rnacentral:rRNA from 1 species